AGAGAUGGGAGAUGAGGGACCAACGCAACCCCAGCGUCUCACUGCGGUCGUCGCGUCAACAUCGAACCGAACCAAAGAAGACCUUGGAGGAAGGACGGAGAGGACAAGCAGGCAAAUAACUGGGACACCGAGACAACCCGACCUUGUACAGUGAAAAGGUAACAGAUGAACCGAAAAGGGAGGACUUGGACACGGGGGGAGGGAAGAGAGCUACUUGCUGUAGUCUUGGCUUUUUGGCUACGUCCUUUCCACGGACAACAACACCCUCAGCUUCGUUCCCAUAACCCUGAAUCUGGAAUAUAAAUCCCAGCGUACGCCUUUGACUUCAGACACCGACGUCCUUCGUGCUUUUGGGCCAAAGUUUCCCCUCUGUCCUUGGCUUCACCCAGUGAAGAUGUCCAGAAACGCAGCUCCAUCGGCUGCAGCGGCUGAUGGCACUGGCUGCCCCGAGCAGGAAACGAAGAGGUUGAGAAUGCACCAAAAACCCAGAACCUUCCGUUCAGCCGGAGAGCAGAGGAAGAAACCCUUCGUUCCUCUUCCUUUGCCACCAACUAACGCCACCUCCGACCUCUCGUUUGGGUCUGAUGCUUUAAAAAAAUAAAUAUAUAUACAGAGUUUGAAGGGAUUUCCUUUAGAGGAACUGAGUAGCGGAAUGGGAUUGCCAGCAGGAAUGCUAAUUGCACCAAGCUUCGCCUGCGAGUCAAUGGCCCAGCUUAAGAACAACUAUGAAGUUUAGCCAAAUCUUGCAUAGAAGUGGUCGACUUAUUGCACAUUGGAACCCAAGAAUAUAUACUUCUGCUGUUGCAAAGUCCAUUUGCAAUAAAGCUUUUUUUGUUGUUUAAAUCUAUUUUUUUUGGGGGGGGGUAGGGUUUAUGUUUUUGUUGUUUUUUUUUUCUUUGGGGGACGUUUACUGGCUAUCUAAAGUCUAAGGAAAAAAAAAAGAAAGAUAUUAAAAAAAUAAAAAUAAACAUGGACAAUGGCAUAAGCCAGAAGC